rnacentral:rRNA from 1 species
ACGGAAGGCAGCAGUGGGGAAUAUUGGGCAAUGGGGGCAACCCUGACCCAGCAACGCCGCGUGAAGGAAGAAGGCCUUCGGGUUGUAAACUUCUUUUACCAGGGACGAAACAAAUGACGGUACCUGGAGAAAAAGCUACGGCUAACUACGUGCCAGCAGCCGCGGUAAUACGUAGGGGGCAAGCGUUAUCCGGAUUUACUGGGUGUAAAGGGAGCGUAGACGGCGAUGCAAGUCUGAUGUGAAAGCCCGGGGCUCAACCCCGGCACUGCAUUGGAAACUGUGUUGCUAGAGUGCAGGAGAGGUAAGUGGAAUUCCUAGUGUAGCGGUGAAAUGCGUAGAUAUUAGGAGGAACACCAGUGGCGAAGGCGGCUUACUGGACGAUAACUGACGUUGAGGCUCGAAAGCGUGGGGAGCAAACAGGAUUAGAUACCCUGGUA